GAUCAACGCUGGCGGCGUGCCUAAUGCAUGCAAGUCGGACGGGCGUGAUCUUCGGGUUGCGUCACGUGGCGGACGGGUGCGGAACACGUGGGCAAGCUGCCCUGGGGCGGGGGAUAGCCGCGGGAAACCGCGGGCAAUUCCGCGUACGUUCCUCUGUCGGUGGGAUGGAGGAAGAAAGGCUUUUCGGAGUCACCCUGGGAGGCGCCUGCGGCCGAUUAGCUAGUUGGGGGGGUAAUGGCUUCCCAAGGCGAUGAUCGGUAGCUGGUCUGAGAGGACGGCCAGCCACACGGGGACUGAGACACGGCCCCGACUCCUACGGGAGGCAGCAGCAAGGAAUCUUCCGCAAUGGCCGCAAGGCUGACGGAGCAACGCCGCGUGGGGGACGACACGCUUCGGCGCGUAAACCCCUUUUCUUGGGGAAGAAGGGCGGGAGAGAUCUCGUCUUGACGGUACCCGAGGAAGAAGGACCGGCUAACCACGUGCCAGCAGCCGCAGUAACA
rnacentral:rRNA from 1 species